GCCGAAGUGGCGGAAUUGGCAGACGCGCCGGAUUCAAAAUCCGGUGGGGUUAGACUCGUAUGGGUUCGAGUCCCAUCUUCGGCACCA
rnacentral:tRNA from 1 species